CGACAUGGUCAGCUCCUACAGACAGUGUUAGGCACAACGACAUGGUCAGCUCCUACAGACAGUGUUAGGUACACCACCUCGUACAACGACAUGGUCAGCUCCUACAGACAGUGUUAGGCACAUCGACAUGGUCAGCUCCUACAGACAGUGUUAGGUACAACGACAUGGUCAGCUCCUACAGACAGUGUUGGGUACACCACCUCGUACACCGACAUGGUCAGCUCCUACAGACAGUGUUAGGUACACCACCUCGUACACCGACAUGGUCAGCUCCUACAGACAGUGUUAGGUACAACGACAUGGUCAGCUCAUACAGACAGUGUUGGGUACACCAACAUGGUCAGCUCCUACAGACAGUGUUAGGUACACCGACAUGGUCAGCUCCUACAGACAGUGUUAGGUACACCACCUCGUACACCGACAUGGUCAGCUCCUACAGACAGUGUUAGGUACACCGACAUGGUCAGCUCCUACAGACAGUGUUAGGUACACCACCUCGUACACCGACAUGGUCAGCUCAUACAGACAGUGUUAGGUACACCAACAUGGUCAGCUCCUACAGACAGUGUUAGGUACACCGACAUGGUCAGCUCCUACAGACAGUGUUAGGUACACCACCUCGUACACCAACAUGGUCAGCUCCUACAGACAGUGUUGGGUACAAUGACAUGGUCAGCUCCUACAGACAGUGUUAGGUACAACGACAUGGUCAGCUCCUACAGACAGUGUUAGGUACACCACC
ensembl:lncRNA